rnacentral:rRNA from 1 species
GACGAACGCUGGCGGCGUGCCUAAUACAUGCAAGUCGAACGAACCGCGACUAGGUGCUUGCACUUGGUCAAGGUGAGUGGCGAACGGGUGAGUAACACGUGGGUAACCUACCUCAUAGUGGGGGAUAACAGUCGGAAACGACUGCUAAUACCGCAUAGGACAUAGGAUCACAUGAUCCAGUGAGGAAAGGUGGCGCAAGCUAUCGCUAAGAGAUGGACCCGCGGUGCAUUAGCUAGUUGGUAGGGUAAAGGCCUACCAAGGCGAUGAUGCAUAGCCGACCUGAGAGGGUGAUCGGCCACAUCGGGACUGAGACACGGCCCAAACUCCUACGGGAGGCAGCAGUAGGGAAUCUUCCGCAAUGGACGCAAGUCUGACGGAGCAACGCCGCGUGAGUGAAGAAGGUCUUCGGAUCGUAAAGCUCUGUUGUUAGAGAAGAACAGCGCAUAGAGUAACUGUUAUGCGUGUGACGGUAUCUAACCAGAAAGCCACGGCUAACUACGUG